AGGUUAUUUGUUAUUAAAUCAAAAAUGAGUAAAAAAUCGAACAAAUAUAUUUGUAUUGUAGCUUUUUUAUUAUUUAUAUCAAGUUAUAUCAUUUCCAGUUUUAUAUUUGCUUAUUUCAGGAACGUUGUUUUUGUUGAAUGAAAUCUUAUGUAAUUUUUAUUGUUUUAAUAAAGGAAAACAGUAUUUAUAUAUACCGAUGAAAACAAUAGUUAUAUAUACCAAUAUUCAGAGUCUCAAGCCUGCUUAACAAUAAUAUCUGUGACGUAGAUCCUUUCAGAUCCUACGUUUGAAUGACGUUUUUAAUACCUCAAGAAGUUGUAUGCCACCUAACGUAGACUUUCAUCAAAAAGAGGUCUCAAAGAGCUUUUUUUUCUUAACUAGCAAAAAUUAACACUAAAGAGAUAAAAAUUUAGACCUCAAAAAAUUGACUUCCCAUUUAUGAGAUCAUUAAGAACUCUGAAUUCUGAGCUCAUAAAAAGGAGCUACUUCUGAGACUUUAUAUUGAAAUCUUUAUAAUUUGGAUGCUGACUGAGCUGUUUGUUAAAAAAACACGCGUGAGGCGAAUAAAACAUGCUAAGCGGAAAGGUACGAAAUUCAAAAGUUGUUCAUAAGUUCCUUAGAAUUUGACAGUCAAUUGGAAUUUUGUUUUUAG
rnacentral:misc_RNA from 1 species